rnacentral:rRNA from 1 species
GACGUAGGGCGCGAGCGUUGUCCGGAUUUAUUGGGCGUAAAGAGCUCGUAGGCGGCUUGUCACGUCGGUUGUGAAAGCCCGGGGCUUAACCCCGGGUCUGCAGUCGAUACGGGCUAGCUAGAGUGUGGUAGGGGAGAUCGGAAUUCCUGGUGUAGCGGUGAAAUGCGCAGAUAUCAGGAGGAACACCGGUGGCGAAGGCGGAUCUCUGGGCCAUUACUGACGCUGAGGAGCGAAAGCGUGGGGAGCGAACAGG